rnacentral:lncRNA from 1 species
AAAUAAUUUAACAACAAUGUAGCAUUUAAAAUCAGAGUUUAAAAUAUGUACUACAUCAAAUUCUUCUGUAAAAUAAAGAAACCAGUGAGUGCACGAACACAUAAAAUUGUUACAAAAGUAAAACAAAUAUAAAACAUUUUCCAAUACUCUAUGUCUAGAUUCUCUCAUCAAUGCAACCGAUGAGGAGGAAGGACACAUGCUGUCAUCACAAUAUUCUCUCCUGAUAAACAUAAAAUACAAAGAGUUCCUACAUUAUUCUGCCUGAAUAAAAUCAAUUACCAUUGCUAUGAUCCCCUUGUUCACGUGUUGUUUCUAUUGGUUCAUUCCACCAUGGAAAAGCUGAACAUCAAGCCAUGGACGGGUUAAAACGGUAAGUAGCAAAGCAGUAUGGUAGAGGACUAAAAAAUGUAUCAAUUCAAGAACUUGUCCCAAAAAGAAAUAAAUUAAGAAAAAAAUGAAAAGAAAAUAAGAACACAUACACACAUGUUAAGCAACUACAUAUUACAAAUACACCAAAUCAUUGACUUUUCUAUUUGUUAUUGUUCGAACAGACUAUUUCGAUUUGAAAUUCCAAUUUAAUCAAGCUCGACAUCAUUCUCAUAUCUAAAAAUAACUAUCACAAAGCGAGACACAUUUGUGCAAUACAUACUAUAGAAGAGAAUAGAAGAACAAUGAAAAAAUUAUAUACGGGAAAUAAUUUUUGCAAUUGAAUGACGAUCAUUAGUUACAAUGUGCAUAGAUCAACGUUAAUAUUAAUGUAAUUCACACUUGCACAAAUUGAUGUACACCUAUAAAUGUUGAGGAAUAGGAGAAGAAUGUACCAUAAAAAAUGGCAGCAAUCGGC